rnacentral:misc_RNA from 1 species
GUUGGAGGUUACUACGAUGCUGGUGACCAUGUGAAAUUUGGUCUACCAAUGGCAUUUACAGUAACAAUGUUGUCAUGGAGUGUUAUUGAAUAUGGUGAAGAGAUUUCGUAUUCGGGAGAAAUUGAACAUGCUUUUGAAGCUAUCAAAUGGGGUACUGAUUAUUUCAUCAAAGCACAUACUAGUCCAAAUGUCUUAUGGGCUGAGGUCGGAGAUGGAGAUACUGAUCAUUAUUGUUGGCAACGUCCGGAAGACAUGACGACUUCUCGUCGAUCAUUUAAGAUCGACGAGAAUAACCCUGGCUCUGACUUAGCUGGGGAGACAGCUGCCGCGAUGGCAGCUGCUUCUAUUGUGUUUAGGAAAAGUAAUCCGCAUUACUCUCACUUACUAUUGCACCAUGCCCAACAGUUAUUUGAGUUUGGUGACAAGUACAGAGGAAAGUAUGACAAAAGUGUGGGAGUAGUGAAAAAUUAUUAUGCAUCAGUGAGUGGGUACGAAGAUGAGUUGUUGUGGGCAGCAUUGUGGUUAUACAAAGCCACCGACAAAGAAGAUUAUUUGGAGUAUGUAAUUAACAAGGCAAAUUCAUUUGGAGGUAUUGGUUGGGCUAUUACUGAGUUCAGUUGGGAUGUUAAAUUUGCUGGUUUACAAAUUAUUGCUUCUAAGAUACUGCAGGAGAAAAAAUACAACAAACACAUUCACAUACAAGAACAAUAUCGUUCAAAAGCCGAACACUACAUAUGUUCAUGUCUCAACAAAAACAACGGUACUACCAACGUCAAUCGUACCCCAGGCGGACUAUUAUACGUCCGUCAAUGGAACAACAUGCAAUACGUAUCGAACGCGGCCUUCCUCCUCACAUUCUACUCGGAUUUCCUUAGAAAAAUCGACAAAAAAAUCGUGUGUCAUGGAGGAAUAGUUGAUCAUGAAGA